rnacentral:tmRNA from 1 species
CCGGCAGCUAAAAAUACACGCCAACGAUGAACUGGCUCUGGCUGCUUAAGUAAAAGCAGCCCAUCGGCCCGGGUAGCCUACGACCCGGGUACCGGUGUCAUCUUAGUAGGCUUACCCCCUGAGCCCUGGCCCGGGGCUUCCGGGGGACACUCAACGGGCUAGCCCUCCUGCGGCGCCCCGGUCCGCAGGGUAGGGCGAAGCUAAACCGGGAGCGACGCUCGUACAAUCUCACGGAUGGCGCGCUCGCGGACGCGGGUUCAAUUCCCGCCGCCUCCACUA